AUAUCCAAAUUUUCUGGGAGCCUCUUUGCCUCGAGCGAGAGCAUUAGAGAUCAGAGAAAUGCGAGAGCCCCACUUGAACAAGACAGGCAGAAGAUCGCAACCAAACCCAAACACUUCCCAGCCACCACCAACAAGCAGCAAGUUGCAAACAAAAUUGCAGCAGGAGGCAAAAAGUUCUCCAGGGAAAACAAGGACCAAACCCCAGGCAGCACGGAGGCAGCCCAGCCGCUCUUGAAGGAUACCCUUAUUUCUGAACCCAACACACAUGAUUCUUGUCCUGCUGAGAUACCAUCAAAAAGUGGCCCAUUUCAGACAAUAAACCAUGUUAUAACAAUACCUCGAAUCAUCUUAACACACCCUUCCACUUCAGAUGAAGAUAAUGACCAGGUAACCCAAGAUCUAGAUGAUUCUGCACCAGAGGAG